AUCUUCAGCACCACAUAAAAAUAAAUAAAUAAAUGUAUAGUGUCCAACUACAACUAAAAACUAAAUAAAUAUUAAAAUUGCCUACAUCCUCCAGCAAAGAGCUUACCUAAGCUUGUAAAUCCUACUGGGUUGUUGGGUGUGUGCUUUUCAUUCUUAUGAUGCCUUGUGCACAAAAUAUAUGUGCAUGCCUUCUCUCUUGUUCAUCUGCUUAUUGUUGGCUUAUUGUAUCAAACCAAUGAUCAAACCUUUAUUCCUACACCUCUGGGCAGCUUGCUCUUUGAAGAACAGUGCCCUGGUUGUGGUGCCAGAAACUCCAAAUGGCAUUAAGAAGGGCAGAAGUUGCUGGUUGUGGUUGCCAUGACACAUGCCUGUAAUUCCAGCAGCUUAGGAGGCUGGGGCAAGAGGAUGGCAAGUUUGAGGCCAGCCUCAGCAACUUAGCAAGGCCCUAAGCAUCUUAGUGAAACUCUGGCUCAAAAUAAAAAUAAAAAGGUCUGGGGAUGUAGUUCAGUGAUAGAGUACGUCUGGGUUUAAUCCCUGCUACCAGAACAAACAAAAACCCAGACAGGGCAGAAGUUGCCAAUAAAGAUGUGCCAAUCCCCUGAGGUAUCCUAGAGAAACACAGGCAACAAGUCAUCAAAUGAAUAUUUUCAACCAAUAGGCCCCUAAUAUCCAAAAUCUACAUAUACUCCAGUAAGAAGAAGAUAGACUAACCAAUGGGGAGAGAAAGGCCAAAGACUUGUAUAGGCACUUCAGAAAUGAUAAAAAGAUCUUUAAAAACAUUUGACUUCAACAACAACAAGUGCUGGCGAGGAUGUGGGGAAAAGGGUACACUUGUACAUUGCUGGUGGGACUGCAAAUUGGUGUAGCCAAUUUG
rnacentral:lncRNA from 1 species